rnacentral:hammerhead_ribozyme from 12 species
CAUUGGUCAGGGGUGGAGCUGCUCCCUUGAUGAGCCCAAGGUAAGGCGAAACCAGUC